rnacentral:rRNA from 1 species
GAUGAACGCUGGCGGCGUGCCUAAUACAUGCAAGUCGAGCGAACGGACGAGAAGCUUGCUUCUCUGAUGUUAGCGGCGGACGGGUGAGUAACACGUGGAUAACCUACCUAUAAGACUGGGAUAACUUCGGGAAACCGGAGCUAAUACCGGAUAAUAUUUUGAACCGCAUGGUUCAAAAGUGAAAGACGGUCUUGCUGUCACUUAUAGAUGGAUCCGCGCUGCAUUAGCUAGUUGGUAAGGUAACGGCUUACCAAGGCAACGAUGCAUAGCCGACCUGAGAGGGUGAUCGGCCACACUGGAACUGAGACACGGUCCAGACUCCUACGGGAGGCAGCAGUAGGGAAUCGUCCGCCAUGGGCGAAAGCCUGACGGAGCAACGCCGAGUGAGUGAUGAAGUUCUUCGGAUCGUAAAACUCUGUUAUUAGGGAAGAACAUAUGUGUAAGUAACUGUGCACAUCUUGACGGUACCUAAUCAGAAGGCCACGGAUAACUACGUG